GCUGUUGUCAACAUUGCUAAACAUUACCUCAAUGGAAGAAUGAUCAAUCUUUGUUGGAUUGCAACAAGGAAAAUGAAGUCCUUGUUGAGAGUACUGCAGAAGAACAUCUAGAUUUAGGUUCUGAAAGGAAGAGCAAAAGGUAAAACCAGAAAAACAGCCAAAAUUACCCACAACACUUCAAUCAAUGCCACAACCCAGGUGAAGAACUAAUGUGAUGAUGAAUACAAAGUAGUUUCACCAUUGUUAAAGUACUUGAUUCUGAAGAUGAUUUUGAGAACUUAACAGACAAAAA